AUACGCUGGCGGCAGGCUUACACCUGCAGUCAGAGCGGAGCGAAGUGUGCUUGCACCUUAGCUUAGCGGCGGACGGGUGAGUAAUGCUUAGGAAUCUGCCUAUUAGUGGGGGACAACGUUUCGAAAGGAACGCUAAUACCGCAUACGUCCUACGGGAGAAAGCAGGGAUCUUCGGACCUUGUUGCUAAUAGAUGAGCCUAAGUCGGAUUAGCUAGUUGGUGGGGUAAAGGCCUACCAAGGCGACGAUCUGUAGCGGGUCUGAGAGGAUGAUCCGCACACUGGGACUGAGACACGGCCCAGACUCCUACGGGAGGCAGCAGUGGGGAAUAUUGGACAAUGGGCGAAAGCCUGAUCCAGCCAUGCCGCGUGUGUGAAGAAGGCCUUUUGGUUGUAAAGCACUUUAAGCGAGGAGGAGGAGCUUCAGGUUAAUACCCUGGAUGCUUGGACGUUACUCGCAGAAUAAGCACCGGCUAACUCUGUGCCAGCAGCCGCGGUAAUACAGAGGGUGCAAGCGUUAAUCGGAUUUACUGGGCGUAAAGCGUGCGUAGGCGGCUAAUUAAGUCAAAUGUGAAAUCCCCGAGCUUAACUUGGGAAUUGCAUUCGAUACUGGUUAGCUAGAGUAUGGGAGACGG
rnacentral:rRNA from 1 species